GACGAACGCUGGCGGCGUGCUUAACGCAUGCAAGUCGAACGGAAAGGCCUGCUUUCCCUUGUGGAUUGCGGGUACUCGAGUGGCGAACGGGUGAGUAACACGUGAGUGAUCUGCCCCCAACUUGGGUAUAAGCCUGGGAAACUGGGUCUAAUUCCCGAUAGGACUGCAGGGUGGUGCCUGUGGUGGAAAACGAUUUUCUAGUGGUUGGGGAUGAGCUCGCGGCCUAUCAGCUUGUUGGUGGGGUAAUGGCCUACCAAGGCGGCGACGGGUAGCCGGCCUGAGAGGGUGGACGGCCACAUUGGGACUGAGAUACGGCCCAGACUCCUACGGGAGGCAGCAGUGGGGAAUAUUGCACAAUGGGCGGAAGCCUGAUGCAGCGACGCCGCGUGGGGGAUGACGGCCUUCGGGUUGUAAACUCCUUUCGACCGCGAGGAAGCCACCUGGUUGGAAGGGUGGUGACGGUAGUGGUAGAAGAAGCACCGGCUAACUACGUG
rnacentral:rRNA from 1 species